CUACCCGCCGGCCGCCCUCCCAUCCUAGCCGCCCUCCCGCUCACCGGCCCCGCGCGGUACUCACUGCUCUCCCGCACCGCUUGUCACCCACCGCCCAGCCCCGCCCGCUCUGAGGAAUGCACCGGGAUGGAACAGUGCCUGCUGAAAAUAACCCAUUCUUGCAGUGCCUAGGAAAUACGAAUACCAGAUGUUUAGUUUUACAAGUGCCAGGAGAUCAAAGAUAGGAGAACUGUAUCAUUAAUCUUUUUUCAAAGACCAUGCAGAGAGAGGCACCUUUGGAAAAUUCAGAAACAAAACCUAAUUUACACACUUGGAAAGAGCUUUAGUAUCAUUUACCAGCCAUGGAGAAAAUAUGCCUAUGAUAUUAAAAGGUGUUUAUGGAAUAUAAUCACAGGACAUGAGUUGCAAGAGAUUCCAGCUUAUACAGAUGGGCAGUCACAGUACUACACUCACAG